UUGAACGCCGGAUCGAUCGUGAUGGGCCGAAUGGCCGGAGGAAGCUGGACAAACUGACCCUUCACGUAGAGGAUGAAGCUCACCACGACUCGGUCCACUCCCUGGACAUCACUGUGACCGACAUCAACGACAACGUACCGACCUGUGCGUCUGGCUUCUUCUCAAAGACAAUCAACGGGACAACAAGCAGCGAUGUUCCUGUUAUAAAUAUCCCUUGUACUGAUGACGAUGAUGGAAGCAAUGGUCAGUUUUCCCUACGGAUAGUUCCAAGGUCAGAGCACCCAGAGUAUCAGAAACAGUUCCGGCUCAAAGCUUUCGACUUGUUUGCUGAUGUUGAUACUCUCCGGAGAGAAUCGUCAAGGAGGGAGAGCAGUGUGUACAUCCUCACUCUCCUGGCAAUAGACACGCCCAAACAAGGAAGAGCAAAUACCGGGACAGCUGUUGUCGUCAUCAACUUUGUACAUCUGAAUGACUACAAGCCCCAGUGGAAGUCCCCCGUCCCCGACAUCAACCACAACUUCCCGAGCGUCACGGUCCCUGAGUCUGCGUCCCCGGGGACAGUGGUGAACACCUUCGUAGCUGACGACAAGGACCCCGAGGCAAC